rnacentral:rRNA from 1 species
GACGAACGCUGGCGGCGUGCUUAACACAUGCAAGUCGAGCGGUAAGGCCCUUUCGGGGGUACACGAGCGGCGAACGGGUGAGUAACACGUGGGUGACCUGCCCUCAGCUCUGGGAUAAGCCUGGGAAACUGGGUCUAAUACUGGAUAUGACUCCACGGUGCAUGUCGUGGGGUGGAAAGCCUUGUGCGGCUGAGGAUGGGCCCGCGGCCUAUCAGCUUGUUGGUGGGGUGANGGCCUACCAAGGCGACGACGGGUAGCCGGCCUGAGAGGGCGACCGGCCACACUGGGACUGAGACACGGCCCAGACUCCUACGGGAGGCAGCAGUGGGGAAUCUUGCGCAACGGGCGAAAGCCUGACGCAGCGACGCCGCGUGAGGGAUGAC